rnacentral:rRNA from 1 species
AGAGUNUGAUCCUGGCUCAGAUUGAACGCUGGCGGCAGGCCUAACACAUGCAAGUCGAGCGGUAGCACAGAGAGCUUGCUCUCGGGUGACGAGCGGCGGACGGGUGAGUAAUGUCUGGGAAACUGCCUGAUGGAGGGGGAUAACUACUGGAAACGGUAGCUAAUACCGCAUAAUGUCGCAAGACCAAAGAGGGGGACCUUCGGGCCUCUUGCCAUCAGAUGUGCCCAGAUGGGAUUAGCUAGUAGGUGGGGUAACGGCUCACCUAGGCGACGAUCCCUAGCUGGUCUGAGAGGAUGACCAGCCACACUGGAACUGAGACACGGUCCAGACUCCUACGGGAGGCAGCAGUGGGGAAUAUUGCACAAUGGGCGCAAGCCUGAUGCAGCCAUGCCGCGUGUAUGAAGAAGGCCUUCGGGUUGUAAAGUACUUUCAGCGGGGAGGAAGGUGUUGAGGUUAAUAACCUCAGCAAUUGACGUUACCCGCAGAAGAAGCACCGGCUAACUCCGUGCCAGCAGCCGCGGUAAUACGGAGGGUGCAAGCGUUAAUCGGAAUUACUGGGCGUAAAGCGCACGCAGGCGGUCUGUCAAGUCGGAUGUGAAAUCCCCGGGCUCAACCUGGGAACUGCAUCCGAAACUGGCAGGCUUGAGUCUUGUAGAGGGGGGUAGAAUUCCAGGUGUAGCGGUGAAAUGCGUAGAGAUCUGGAGGAAUACCGGUGGCGAAGGCGGCCCCCUNACAA